rnacentral:rRNA from 1 species
GCUAGGUUUAUACAUGCGAGUAUCCGCGCUCCAGUGAGGACGCCCUGGACACCUAAACUUAGGUAGAUAGGAGCAGGCAUCAGGCACACCUAUAACUGUAGCCCAAGACGCCCAGCAAUUGCCACGCCCCCACGGGUUCUCAGCAGUAGUUAACAUUAAGCAAUGAGUGUAAACUUGACUUAGCCAUAGCAAAUCAGAGCCGGUAAAUCCUGUGCCAGCCACCGCGGUCAUACAGGAGGCUCAAAUUAACUUUAUAACGGCGUAAAGAGUGGUCGCAUGUUAUCCAAGUAGCUAAGAUUAAAAAGCAACUGAGCUGUCAUAAGCCCAAGAUGCCCAUAAGGCCUCCGUCUUCAAAGAAGAUCUUAGAACAACGAUUAAUUGAAGCCACGAAAGCCAGGACCCAAACUGGGAUUAGAUACCCCACUAUGCCUGGCCCUAAAUCUUGAUGCUCGAUAUUACCUGAGCAUCCGCCCGAGAACUACGAGCACAAACGCUUAAAACUCUAAGGACUUGGCGGUGCCCCAAACCCACCUANAGGAGCCUGUUCUGUAAUCGAUGAUCCACGAUAUUACCUGACCAUUUCUUGCACGAAACAGCCUAUAUACCGCCGUCGCCAGCCCACCUUUCCUGACAGCCCAACAGU